rnacentral:rRNA from 1 species
ACGCUCGACACCUACGGGUGGCAGCAGUGGGGAAUAUUGCACAAUGGAGGAAACUCUGAUGCAGCGAUGCCGCGUGAGGGAAGAAGGUUUUCGGAUUGUAAACCUCUGUCUUUGGGGACGAUAAUGACGGUACCCAAGGAGGAAGCUCCGGCUAACUACGUGCUAGCAGCCGCGGUAAUCUGAGCGGGCUGGCAAGGC